GGAAGGAGUAGGACUUGACACAAACAGAACAGGAUGCAACAUAAACAAAUGCUACAAAUACAUGCAUGCCUGCAUCCAUAAUGAGACAACAGGGAAAGGUCCAAGGGGUACUCCUAACUUUUUAUAAGGAAACUGAGGCAUUAGUUUGGACAGUAGGAUCAGCACCAUUCUAGGCCAUGCCAGUAAUCCAUAACGCUUAGCUUUUUCUUUUUCAUUUUACUCUCCCUGAUUUAUAUCUAGUGCAAUUAUUCUAAUAGCAUCCAUUCUAUUUUCCCCCUAAUCACAUC
rnacentral:misc_RNA from 1 species